rnacentral:rRNA from 1 species
GAUGAACGCUGGCGGCGUGCCUAAUACAUGCAAGUCGAGCGAACGGACGAGAAGCUUGCUUCUCUGAUGUUAGCGGCGGACGGGUGAGUAACACGUGGAUAACCUACCUAUAAGACUGGGAUAACUUCGGGAAACCGUAGCUAAUACCGGAUAAUAUUUUGAACCGCAUGGUUCAAAAGUGAAAGACGGUCUUGCUGUCACUUAUAGAUGGAUCCGCGCUGCAUUAGCUAGUUGGUAAGGUAACGGCUUACCAAGGCAACGAUGCAUAGCCGACCUGAGAGGGUGAUCGGCCACACUGGAGCGGAGACACGGUCCAGACUCCUGCGGGAGGCAGCAGUAGGGAAUCUUCCGCAAUGGGCGAAAGCAUGACGGAGCAACGCCGCGUGAGUGAUGAAGGUCUUCGGAUCGUAAAACUCUGUUAUUAGGGAAGAACAGAUGUGUAAGUAACUGUGCACAUCUUGACGGUACCUAAUCAGAAAGCCACGGCUAACUACGUG